GACGAACGCUGGCGGCGUGCUUAACACAUGCAAGUCGAACGGAAAGGCCCUGCUUUUGUGGGGUGCUCGAGUGGCGAACGGGUGAGUAACACGUGAGUAACCUGCCCUUUACUUUGGGAUAACUUCAGGAAACUGGGGCUAAUACCGGAUAGGAGCUCCUGCUGCAUGGUGGGGGUUGGAAAGUUUCGGCGGUUGGGGAUGGACUCGCGGCUUAUCAGCUUGUUGGUGGGGUAGUGGCUUACCUAGGCUUUGACGGGUAGCCGGCCUGAGAGGGUGACCGGCCACAUUGGGACUGAGAUACGGCCCAGACUCCUACGGGAGGCAGCAGUGGGGAAUAUUGCACAAUGGGCGGAAGCCUGAUGCAGCAACGCCGCGUGCGGGAUGACGGCCUUCGGGUUGUAAACCGCUUUCGCCUGUGACGAAGCGUGAGUGACGGUAAUGGGUAAAGAAGCACCGGCUAACUACGUG
rnacentral:rRNA from 1 species